GAUGAACGCUAGCUACAGGCUUAACACAUGCAAGCCGAGGGGAAACGACAUUGAAGCUUGCUUCGAUGGGCGUCGACCGGCGCACGGGUGAGUAACGCGUAUCCAACCUGCCUCUGACUAAGGGAUAACCCGGCGAAAGUCGGACUAAUACCUUAUGAGGUUUUCUGCAGACAUCUAACGAAAACGAAAGAUUUAUCGGUCAGCGAUGGGGAUGCGUCUGAUUAGCUUGUUGGCGGGGUAACGGCCCACCAAGGCAACGAUCAGUAGGGGUUCUGAGAGGAAGGUCCCCCACAUUGGAACUGAGACACGGUCCAAACUCCUACGGGAGGCAGCAGUGAGGAAUAUUGGUCAAUGGGCGAGAGCCUGAACCAGCCAAGUAGCGUGCAGGAUGACGGCCCUAUGGGUUGUAAACUGCUUUUAUGUGGGGAUAAAGUGAGCUACGUGUAGUUUAUUGCAGGUACCACAUGAAUAAGGACCGGCUAAUUCCGUGCCAGCAGCCGCGGUAAUACGGAAGGUCCAGGCGUUAUCCGGAUUUAUUGGGUUUAAAGGGAGCGUAGGCCGUGGAUUAAGCGUGUUGUGAAAUGUAGACGCUCAACGUCUGAAUUGCAGCGCGAACUGGUUCACUUGAGUAUGCACAACGUAGGCGGAAUUCGUCGUGUAGCGGUGAAAUGCUUAGAUAUGACGAAGAACUCCGAUUGCGAAGGCAGCUUACGGGAGCACAACUGACGCUGAAGCUCGAAGGUGCGGGUAUCAAACAGG
rnacentral:rRNA from 1 species